ACAGAGCCUGGGAGAUGCUUCUGAUGAGUCUCAGACUACAACAGCACCACUGGAUGUCAUCACCACUGACACAACUACAACUACUACCAACACUUCAUUAUCUACUUGGGUCACCCAGAAAUCUACUGUACUGACAACAUCCAAAUCCACAAUCACCACUCUCAUCUCAACUGAAGCAGAACUUAUAGAGGAAAUAAACAGCACAACCUACAACAAAGCUCUAGAAGACAGAGUUGGACAAGAUAUUGCAGCAAAUCCAGGCCUCAUUGCAGUCCUUUGUAUUUUUUCCAUUGUGGUGGCUGUAGUUGUUGUGUUUGUAAUAGUGAAGGCUGUUCGCUCCAGGAGGCCACGGUUUGAGAGGCUUGACGAUGUACCUUUGGGCAAGAUAAGUGAGGAUGCACCAUUUGCCCGCUACAAUCCAAAAUGAAUGACGGUUUCUGGCCAUCUCGGUGAACUGCAUAGUUUUGCCACUGAUGUGUUUUACUGAAAUGCACCUUUUUGAUCUGUAGACUAGAUCUGCAAUACCCAGUGUAAUUAAGAAAAGCUGUGAAAAUAUUGUUUUUUUUAUUAUUAUUAUUAUUAAAAUCCCAUAUCUCAAAACAAA